GACGAACGCUGGCGGCGUGCCUAAUACAUGCAAGUCGAGCGAGACUCUUCGGAGUCUAGCGGCGGACGGGUGAGUAACACGUGGGCAACCUGCCUGUAAGACUGGGAUAACACCGGGAAACCGGUGCUAAUACCGGAUAAUCCUUUUCCUCUCAUGAGGGAAAGCUGAAAGUCGGUUUCGGCUGACACUUACAGAUGGGCCCGCGGCGCAUUAGCUAGUUGGUGAGGUAACGGCUCACCAAGGCGACGAUGCGUAGCCGACCUGAGAGGGUGAUCGGCCACACUGGGACUGAGACACGGCCCAGACUCCUACGGGAGGCAGAAGUAGGGAAUCUUCCACAAUGGACGAAAGUCUGAUGGAGCAACGCCGCGUGAGCGAUGAAGGCCUUCGGGUCGUAAAGCUCUGUUGUUAGGGAAGAAUAAGUACCGGAGUAACUGCCGGUACCUUGACGGUACCUAACCAGAAAGCCACGGCUAACUACGUGCCAGCCGCCGCGGUAAUAC
rnacentral:rRNA from 1 species